AAAAAAGUGCCCCCAGUUCUUCAACUAUAAGAUAAGAUGUGUUUUGCAAACAUAAAGCAUAUUAAAUCUUUAUUUUGUAGGUCGAUAUUAAGAAAGGUCCUGAUGUAGCUGGUGCAUAAAUGUAAAGACUCAUUUGCUUCCUGGAAAGCAGAAGAAAGGUAAGUAAGUACUUAUCAGAAAGUCGUGGAAAAAUAAAACAGGUAAUAUUCAAAUUCUAAAUACUGAGGAUGUCAUGUUUUCUAGUAAUUAGCCCAAUUUCUCAAGCUGCAGAGAAAAAUUCUCUGAUGAACUU